AUUGGAUUAUACAAUCUAACUUACGUUACAAUGUAUCUUCUCCUUUUUACCAAAUUAUAAACUACGUUUUGUUUGCUCAAAAAAAAAAAAUAUUUAUUCCAUGUUUUAUGUUAAAGCGAAGGAAUUAGAAUUUCAUUGCGCGCAAGGAGCUUUCGGGUAGCAGCUCCUUGGGACUUGGCCCAAACCCAGAUCCAACGUAUAGGCCCUGAUUCCGACCUGACUGACAUGUCACCCGACUGGGGCCCAUGGCCACCUGUAAAUGUGUCUGAGAUAUGGCCCUGGCAAAUGACAAAUUAGCACCAUCAAUUACUGAAAUUUAUUUUGCCAGCCUUGUUUGCCUCGGCUCUGGAAUUGACCUGCCCCACCAGCCCACUGGCCCACUGGCUGCCUACGGACUCAUUUGUUGUACUUAAUUUGGGUUCCGUGCGUUUCGACAUGCACUCAGAGAAAUUUUGUAGUACUUUUAAGUUUUAGAUCUUACUAUACAUCUUAGUAUAUAUGUAUAAUUUGCACAUAUACUAGCUCACUUGCCAUUGAUUCUACGUAUCCAUUUGUUUAAACAUUUAUUUUUGGCUUUAGUAACAGAAUGUCGCUUUGCAAUUCCUUUUUAUCGGAUGCAAAUACAACCAAUGCUGCAAGCGAA